GGCCUUUUGAUUAUGAUUUAAGGUCUGGCCUGCCCAAUGAGGAGUUCAAUGGCUGCGGUAAUUUGACCGUGCAAAGGUAGCAUAAUAAUUAGUUUUUUAAUUGGAAGCUGGAAUGAAAGGUUUGAUGAGAAAGUGACUGUCUCUUUUCAAUUUUUUUUAGAAUUUUAUAUUUAAGUAAGAAAGCUUAAAUGUUUUUGAAAGACGAGAAGACCCUAUAGAGUUUUAUAUUUAUUUUCUUUUUUGGUAUUUUUGGUAUUUUUUGUAUUAGGGGGGGAGGUAAUAUUUGGUUGGGGCGAUUAAAAAAUUUAUUUAACUUUUUUUUUAUAUUUACACUAAUUAGUGAGUUUUUGAUCCAUUAUUUGUGAUUAUAAGAUUAAAUUACCUUAGGGAUAACAGCGUAAUUCCUUUUGAGAGUUCUUAUUGAUAUGGGAGAUUGCGACCUCGAUGUUGGAUUAAAAUUAAAUUUUGGUGCAGAAGCUAAAAGAUUGGGUCUGUUCGACCUUUAAAAUUUUACAUGA
rnacentral:rRNA from 1 species